ACUUUGGCCGUGAGUUCUGCUCGCCGGGUCUCUCUGAAUGUGCUCUCUCUGCUCGCCGCGAGCUGCGAGCGAGAUGCUCUCUCCUCCCUUCGUGUACUGCGACGAGGUAAGGUUCUGGCUUUCUUCUUGAAUGGCCAGCUGGUAAAUCCGCUCGAGCGAGGGUAUGGGAUCCAUAGCCAAAAUCUGGGAUCAAAACGGAAGGUAUGUAUCGUUUAAAAUGAGGAGAAAUCGGGUUACCUUUUUUCCUUCUUUUAUGUCCUUAUACUGUUGUAAGGUCGAUUCCGGUCCAUCGAGUUUCCCUUCGGCCGCUUCCAAUUCAUUCCAGAGCGCCGAGAGCUUGUUGAAGCAUGUCAUGAUAGACAUGUUUCCUUGCUUUAGUUCUGUGAGUGUUUGGGCAAGCAAAAUUUUUUUCGCUUGAUCCAAUUUCCCGUACAUUUCCAAUUAUGUUUUCCCACAUAAUUUUCGAGUCCUCUGUUGAGGGUAAUCCGGCUGAAACGUCUGGUGCUAUGCAAUUGUCGAUCCAUUUCGGACGCGUUGAUUGCAUUUUUUCCAUUGUCGCAUCAAACGUUCAUUGGUCGGAACCGGAACGGUUCCAUCAAGGAAUCCAUCCUUGUCCUUUGUAAUGAGGGCUCGCCGGAAUUCUUGUGCCCAUAUCGAAUAGUUUUCGAUUCCUGAAAGUUGAUGUACAAUGAGCCGGAGUUCUGGUCCAUCGGCGGUGGAGACGUACAGCAGGUCAUUAAGCUCCGGAUGACCACUGGCAGCCACGAUUGGAUACGUAGGGAUUUGUUCCUAGACCCGAAUUCCCCGAUUUGGGUAUUUGGCCCGCAUUGAACCAUCCCGACCCGAUGGUUGGGCUUGCCUCAUCUACGAUUGGUGGGCCUCUAUCGAGUUGAGUGUUAUUUCCGUGGCCCUGAUUCCUUGGCCACUGGACAUUUUGGGUUGGCCAGUAGAACCAUGGAUUGGGAUAUACCUGGACAAGCAGCCAUUGAAAGUUCUGGCCCAAAAUGGCUUGGCCCAAAUUUGGAUGGGCCUGGAAAGUAUGUUGGGCCCAGAUGGGCUGCUCCUGACUUGUGACGCCUUCAGCAGGUAUGUUCAAGGUUUGUGUUUUACUGCAACAACAAGGAAGAAGGAAAAAAAUUCAGCGGGCAAUCUGGGGUUUGUGCGGAAGCUAGACCAGGAAUUUGACACGCUUUGAUACCAUGAAAGAAGUCGAAGAUAAAGAGAUUUGAAGGGAAUUUGUUGUAUUUCUUCAACUUGAAUUUCUACAUGUGCACUGUUCUGUAUAUAUAAUACAAAAUAUGGAUAAUAAAAAGGAAAAAAAUAUAUUCUAAGGAAUCAACUCUAAUUUAGAUUGAUUCAUUCUAAUC